rnacentral:snoRNA from 1 species
GUCCAUGAUGAGCCACAUAAUUGAGAUGUGGUUGGCCUCAAGUCCCUGUUUUUCAGGGAGAACCCACUUGAGGAUGCUACAUCAAAGCAUGAAAUCGGUGGAAAUCUCUGAGGC